GUAUAUGUUUAUUUUCCUCAGCUCAAGUUUGUGAUAUUACUAUCUUCCCUUUGGAAGGGUAAUGAAAUGCUGCUCAAGGAUCUGAGAAGACAGAAAAGAGAGACCUCACAUUCCAUUUGCCACAAUACUACUCUUUAGAUCUCUUCUGAUUGUCCUCUCACCUGAGAUGCCUCACAGGAGAGAGCCAUACUCAACACAACAGUCCUACUGUCAGGCUCCUUCUGUCCCCACAAGUCAACAUGCUGAAGACGAGUGUUCCUUUUCUUGCCUUUGGGUCUCUCUCUGAACCCACUGUGUUCCCCAGUCCCCUAUUUCCUUUUGACUCUUUUGAAUCUGAGCGUUAUAUUUCAUUAAAUAAAUUAGCUUCCA